ACUCAACUGGCUCAGUAGGAGAGCAUGUGACUCUUCAUCUCAGGGUUAUAAGUUCAAGCUUCAUGUUGAGUG
rnacentral:tRNA from 1 species